GCCCCCGGCCCCAACGGCCGCCGCGCGCGGAGCCGGCCCGAACGGGCGCGAGGCAGGGCCGCGGGCAGAGGGCCCCCGCGUCGUCGUCGCGCGGCCGCUGUCCGCCAGGGGGCAGGCGCGCGGCGGGCCGGGAUUGGAUGGCGAGGGCGGAAUGAUGUCGCGGAGGGUCCCGCCUCGCGCGGAGGUGGGGAGGGCAGGUCUCUGCGCGAGCGCUGCCCCGCCGGCGGUUACUUAGCGGUUGGGAGCGGGCGCUCGCUGCGGCUCUCUGUGCCUGGGAGGCUCUGCCGCCGCGGAGCGCGACGCAGCCGCUUCUCGCCUCGCCAUGUCUAAGGAAACGAAGAAGCCCUUCCGCCAGAGCAUGACCGAGUGGCGGCAGUUCAUCUAUAACCCCAACAGCGGCGAGUUCCUGGGGCGCACGGCGAAGAGCUGGGGUUUGAUCUUGUUGUUCUAUCUGGUAUUUUAUGGCUUCCUAGCAGCACUCUUCACAUUCACAAUGUGGGUUAUGCUUCAGACACUGAGCAAUGACAUACCAAAAUACCGUGACCGGAUUUCCAGUCCAGGACUUAUGAUUUCACCAAAGCCAGACACUGCACUGGAAUUUUACUUUAACAAGAGUGAUGCCCAGUCAUAUGCAGAAUAUGUUGCUACACUUAGAAAAUUCCUUGAAUCAUAUGAUGAUUCAAAGCAAUCCCAAAACAUAAACUGUACACCAGGAAGGAUUUUUGAUCAGAAUGAUGUUGCUGUUAAAAAGGCAUGUCGAUUUAACCUCUCUGAGCUUGGCCAGUGCUCUGGAAAAGAAGAUAAGACCUUUGGCUAUUCUAAAGGAACUCCCUGUGUGCUUGUGAAAGUAAAUAGAAUAAUUGGGUUAAAGCCUGAAGGAGAACCACGUAUACAUUGUACACCUAAGGAAGCAGGCAUGGUUGAAAUAAAUUAUUUUCCUCCUGAAGGCUUGAUUGACUUAAUGUACUUUCCAUACUAUGGGAAAAGCUUGCAUGCUCACUAUUUACAGCCUCUAGUGGCUGUUCAACUAGCAAUUAACUCCAACAGUACCAAAGAAGAAAUAGCAAUUGAGUGUAAGAUCCUGGGCUCACCUAAUUUAAAAAAUGAAGAUGACCGUGACAAGUUUCUGGGACGAAUUGCCUUCAAAGUUCAGAUGAUUGAAUAGCUGGAGUAAAAAUUUCUCCACAAAGUAAACAUUGUGUUGUCUGUUUUGUAUCAUCUGGACAUGCCAUUUUAGGAUAUGAGACCACCUUGGAGAAUGUUAAGGUGGUUUAUGGCAUUCAGGGUAGCAUAAUAAUAUGCUUCCAAAUCGUAUGUUUAAAAUCCUUCAAAAUAAAUGCCUAUCCUGCUUCUGCCUGCCCCCUUGGAACAGUGUACAGACUAUAGUUAUGUUAUAGGGACCUGUAAAUAGCUGUUUUCAAACACAUAAUAAUGGUGACCUUUGUCCUGUUCUAAAAUGUGGUUUUAUCCCCCAAGUGAGUGUCUCAAGCUUAAUGUGCUGUGCUAUGUAAAUAUUGUAUUGAUUUAACACUGGUUUAACUGUCAUAUCUCAAUGCUGACACAGUUAUAGGGAUAAAUAAUAAAUGGUACCUGAUUGACAUAGUGAUUUUUUUGUAAGAGUAAACACCUCCAACGUAAAUUGUUUGUAUGGAAGUGGGUGGGUGGAUGGCUGUGUGGAGAUGCCUUAAAUUGUAGACUGGGUGGCAUGAGAGAAUUGAAUUGAUUUUAUGAAUUGGUAUGGAUUUAUGAAAGUAAGUGCUCAACUAGUACUUUCAUGUGCUUGUCACUGUGCAAGUAUUGUGUACAUGUAAUACUUGGUAUAGAGUUUGGUAUUCUAGCUGAGGAGUUGAAUCUUUCUUUGUGUUGUUAAUUGCUUGCGAUAUGUGGAGCACAAAUAAAAUCUAUACAAUAUUUUAAAACUUUUUAGUUCAGAAAUAUCAAUAUAGAACAAUUAAAAUUGUUUAGGGUCCUGGUAACAGUUGUACAAUAGAGCUGCUUGAAAGAAACAGCCUCACUAUUGUGGAAAUAGGCUUUCAUUUUCCAAUUAAACUAUUUCCUGAAGAAUCUCUGUUUAAAAAAAAAAAAAAAAAAUAAGGAAAAAAUAAUUGUCUUUAUUAAACAUUCCUGUUUAAUUUAUAUACUCUGUUUUGUUGCAUCAUUUUAACACACUUCACAUCGUCAUCUGCUCUUUCAUCUUGGAUUUUCUGUGUAUUUCCUCAUCAUCCAUUUAGAAAAGUGGUGUCAUCAGCUGCUUAAUAGAAAUAUCCUAUUAACUCGGAGUAGAUUACUUGCAAUUUAAUUUAAAAUAGAGUUGCUAAAAUUACUACAGACUGGUUUAUUUGUGACUGCUCCUCACGUUAAACCAAGCUGACCCGUUAUAUUGGGUUAUAACUAACGCAGUUGUGCUGACAUGGGAUUUAUGUUGCUCUUCCCCAGGGUUUUUGUUUGUUUUGGUCUUGGGUUUUUUUUGAGCAUGUGGUCCACAUUCUAAUGUCUUCUCAAUAUUGAAGACCAUAGCAGAUCAGCAUUUGUGUAAAUACCUAUAUGUUCUGCUAGUUAGGCCUAAAUUUGUUACUUAACAUGUUUUUAUGCCUAAUUCUUACAGUGGUUUUUAAUAUUUUAUUUAAACAAAUUAUAUGAAUGAUUACUAAAGUUCAAGAUCUAGUCUUAAUGUCCUGCUUUGAAAAUGUUUGAGGCCAGUCAAAGCCAUGUUAGUGCAAAACCUUUUUAGCACCUGGGCAAGCUUACCCUGGUGCACAGUUGGAAGAAGCUGCUCUUAAUGGGACUUGAACAAUAUCUUGAGCCUCAUUAAAAAUAGAUUUAUACUGAUCUGAUACCAUUCUGCAUGCUUUUUUGUUGUCUACAAACAAAAAAUUGUUGUUCCUACAAUAUGCAAUGGAUACUUUUGUAAUAAUAGCAUGCUUUAAUACUGAAAAAGAAUGUUCUUUCAAAAGAUUCCAUUACUAAUGUUUUAAAUCAUGCACUUUUAGAUCUGGAUACCUGGGUUCUUGAAGAUACGACUAAUUGCUUCUCUGUAUAUUAAUACUGCCUGAAAGUAUUUUAAUAGUCUUGAGGGAACUUAAAAUAUAGAUGUUGCAUUUGAAAAUGAUUAGCUUGAUGUAAAACAAUUUCACAUUUGUCACUUAGGAAUGAUAAGAAGUUCUGGACAAACGGUUUUCAAAUGAGCUGACUUUUGCAACAGUUUCUCUUUUGACUUCUCUAUAUAGACAAAGCAUGAACUGGCAACUCUUCACCAGCACUUUUCAGACAGGGAAGCACCUAAAGGAGCCAAUAAAGGAAGUUUCAGAGUUAUGUUCACUAGCAUGUACUUAAAUCUUUUUAUGUGGUGCAGCUCAACAGUGAGUAUUGCAUGUAGCCGUGAAAGCACUGCCUCAUUUUGAUUUUGGAAUAACUGAAGGGAAUUUCCAAGAGUUUAAUCUGGAUUUGGCAACAAUUCCUUAAAAGGUCUGAUAGGUAUCAAUGUAUUUGAAACAAAAUAUGUAAUUCCAUAUUUUAUUUUAGAAAGUAUACUUGUAGAUAUGUCUAUCAAGUGUUAGAGAAGAUUAGAGUAUUUUGAAUUUGCUUUACAGCUGUAUGGAAUAAAAAUGUGUCCUUCCAGUACCCAAA